UAACUUACAAGAUAAGGUCGGUAUACGCUAAUGCUAUGAAGUAUACUUAAUUCGUUAAUUAUCAUAUAAAGUCAGUACGAAAUAAAUAUUUUGUACAUUGAAGCUAGUCGUCUUUUAAAAUUAGCUUAGGCCCUUAAAGGGUGUAUUUCAGCAGCGUGAGCUUUCGAAAACAAACACAUGCUUGCAUGUUACCAAUCUCUUCAGUUCUGCAGUCUCGUCGCCGCAACAUGUCCGAGCGCAAAAAGCUGUUUUGUUUUUGUAUGUAUGUAUGCUGCUGCCGACGUCAGCAGAGAAUUCGGAGCAGCGUAGAAGAUUUCCGCCGAAAGCAUUUCGGCAAGAAAGAGAGGCAGAUCCUCGGAUAUUACCCUCUCUUUCUGUGUCUUAUAAUCUGCCUGCCCUCGGCUCUCAGAGAGCAACAUUCGGUCGGUGCUCUCUUUUUCGUCUCUCCGUUAUGUUUAGAAAAAAACCAAAAGAAGAAGAAGACCUGGUGCAUUCUGUUUGAGUUAUGAAAAGAAGAGCAGCGGCUGUUUAAAUUGUGCGCUGCAACACAUUUAAAUUUAUUAAAAAAACUGAUAUUUUUUGAAAAUAAAUCAAGUCAGGUUUAUAACAUAACCCAAAAAAUGCUGGUUCCGUUUUCCGAAAGUGGCGUGAGGAAAUCCCUCAAAGGGGUUUAAACAGAUUGAAAAGCGUUGGACAGGGAUUCUGAGGACCCGGACCGAAAAGCGAUGUUAAAUAUUAAGAACAAAUUAUUAAAAAAAACAUAGACUUGCAAAUAAUAAUUGUAAUUCUACAGAAAAUUUAAAUAAUACAAUUGAAAUAAAAUAUAGCUAAAAGUAAAUUAAUAUGUAUUUAUUUUUAAUUCAAUAAUAAUAAAUUAGCGAAUUUUCGACGGGAUUUCCCAGGCACGUUUCCCUUUCAAGGGAAUUCUCGAAUUUUCGACGGGAUUUCCCUGGGACGUUUGCCUUGCACGGGAAAGUGCAUGCAAAAAUUAGUAUUAGAAACACGCGAAAUCCUGAGAGACUUCAAAAAAAUUUCCUGUACAUUUUCCCCUAGGAAAAAACGGACACUCCCUCGGAAUUCCGCGACGUUUUCCCCGGGAAACUUUUAUUUUGAAACUGAAGGGUUAAUAUAAACGGGGUGCCACGCCAACUUUAACGCCCACAAUCCGUGAAAAUCUGUAAAGCCUAUAGUUUUUAUAAUAGAAAAAAAUUAUGCAAUGCCCACUCUAACGCCCAAAAACGGUUUAAAAGGUGGGCUUACCGCCCACAUAACAUAUACCUAAAUAGCGGGAGGUAUUAUUAUAUGUAUAUCUCCAUUUCCCAUUUUGCUUCCUUAAUCUGAUAACAGGUUCGCCCAUGACAAAAAAAUUAAAAUUGGA